CCCUUAGAUGUUCUGGGCUGCACGCGUGCUACACUGAAUAGUUCAAUGGGUGAGGUAGUGCGAAAGCAUGACCCAAUCUCUAAAUCUAUUCGUGAUGGGGAUAGAAGCUUGCAAUUAUCCUUCUUGAACGAGGAAUACCUUGUAGGCAUAAGUCAUCAUCUUAUGCCGAAUACGUCCCUGCCCUUUGUACACACCGCCCGUCGCUCCUACCGAUUGAAUGGUCCGGUGAGGCUUUGGGAGAGCUAAAUAGACUGUGCUUCACAGAUUAUUUGGCUUGAACUUAGUCAAACCUUACUAUUUAGAGGAAGGAGAAGUCGUAACA
rnacentral:rRNA from 1 species